rnacentral:rRNA from 1 species
GAUGAACGCUAGCUACAGGCUUAACACAUGCAAGUCGAGGGGAAACGACAUCGAAAGCUUGCUUUUGGUGGGCGUCGACCGGCGCACGGGUGAGUAACGCGUAUCCAACCUGCCCACCACUUGGGAAUAACCUUGCGAAAGUAAGACUAAUACCCAAUGAUAUCCCACGAAGGCAUCCGAAUGGGAUUAAAGAUUUAUCGGUGAUGGAUGGGGAUGCGUCUGAUUAGCUUGUUGGCGGGGUAACGGCCCACCAAGGCAACGAUCAGUAGGGGUUCUGAGAGGAAGGUCCCCCCACAUUGGAACUGAGACACGGUCCAAACUCCUACGGGAGGCAGCAGUGAGGAAUAUUGGUCAAUGGGCGAGAGCCUGAACCAGCCAAGUAGCGUGCAGGACGACGGCCCUAUGGGUUGUAAACUGCUUUUAUGCGGGGAUAAAGCGGGCGACGUGUCGCCCCUUGCAGGUACCGCAUGAAUAAGGACCGGCUAAUUCCGUG